rnacentral:misc_RNA from 1 species
UUUCCGUAGGUGAACCUGCGGAAGGAUCAUUCAUAAUAAGUGUUUUAUGGCACUUUUUUAAAUCCAUAUCCACCUUGUGUGCUAUGUCAGGGUUGAUUUUUCUCUCGAGAGGAUCAACCCCAAACAUCAACUAUAUCUCAACUCUUUGUCUGAAAAAUAUUAUGAAUAAAACAAUUCAAAAUACAACUUUCAACAACGGAUCUCUUGGCUCUC